UACGGCCAUAUCACUUUGAAACACCGUUUCCCGUACAAUCACCAACGUGAAGCAAUGUCAAUUCUGUUCAGUAUCUAGAUGGGUGACCGCUUGGGAAUACCAGCUGCUGUAAG